UCCUAUGAUCUGUUCAAAAUGAACUACCAAAUGAUAACCAAAAAGAAUUACGUUUUGAUCGUAAUGACCUGCUUUUUAUUGCCAACUCGUGAUUGUCAAUUGAUGGACACAGUUGUAAAUACUUCUUAUGAAGCUCCUUGGACAUCGUUAACAUUCAUUAUUCCCAUUGCGCCUAUUUAUAACAGGUUGUGGUCAUACUGCAGACUUCACAGUAUUUAUUACUGCCUGAAUGGAUUUGUUUCUGAUCAUGGAAACAACUAUAGUAAAUCCUAUCAAUAUUUUGGAACCAGCGAAAGGUAUGACAACUAUGCCUUCCGACAAUUAACACGAGCGAAAUUAUCAGCCCAGAGAGAAUGUGCAGCACUAUUUGAGCCUAUUAUCAGCCAGCAUAACCUAUUUGUGUUUCAUGAUGGCUGUUGCACUUACAAUGGUCAAUACUGUCACUAUUUCACGUUCGGGUAUUACGAGGCGAUGAUGACACCGAAAGAAUAUUACCAAAAAUCAACUGAUUACUCAGAAGAUGGAAAACAACUGAACUAUAUUAUGGCCUAUUACUCGUUGGAAUGUGAGGCAAACAUAAUCAUAAAAAUUGGAUUUGGUACUGGUGAACUUAAACGAGCUCACAAUUUUGAUGGUUUUGGAGAUCAACAGCCAGAUUUUCCCUACAUACUGAAAGUAGGCCAUCACUGGACGCCCAAAGUGCACUAUGACAACCCUGGGUAUUUCAUCACAUUUCCAUGGUUCAAAAAGAAUGUAAUAUGCCCUGAUCAACCCUGGAUAUGUGGAGGUCCCCGAAAAGGUUUUAAGCUGACACGAAUGUGGUGGCGACGAGUCUUUAGAAAGAAACCCGAUUUUGAUUUUCAGCAACACAUGGUAAUGUGAUUUAAGCCAUGUGAGGGGAGUAGAAAAAGCCGGCUUCAGUUACAAAAAUUGUUAUUCUAUCACCAGUUAUGUUCUUUGAGCUGUUUUUAUCAUUAAAUUCAUCUUAAAA